GUGCGUAGAAAUUGAGUGGGACUUUAAGCUUUAUUCCUUUUACUAGGAGAAAUUGCAUAUCCCUUUAGCUGAGUAUGUUCAAUCAGAUGUUUAUCUCGUUGCCUUUGACCCCAGUUGAAGUGGGUGAUGGGGGAAAGGGACGAUGAUUUUCCAGUUUCUUCUCCCAAAUGCAAGCUUUGAAUUCUCGCUGUCUCUUGAGAAGGACUAAGUUGUCAGCAUUAAUUCUCAGCAAGUCACUCCCUUGCCUCUGAAAACUUGAAUAAAGAUAGGCUCCUAACUGUUGGUGGAUGGAGACCAUAAUCCUGCUUCUUUUAUACAUCGUGCCCCCAUGCUCCUGCACUGUGCUGGGCGUGGUGUAGGUGCCUAAUGAAUGUUUGUCAUCUGAUUUAUUGAGGCAUCUCCACUGUAGUCAGGGUCAGCUACUGGGGACUCUUAUGGACACUGAGAUGUCAGAACAAUGAGAACACAGAAAGUUUAUAAAGAUAAUCUGGCCUCCCUGUAAGAACAAAGAUGAUGCUCUUAAUAUUUUUGUGCAAGCAUCAGACAAGCUUUCCCAAGGUUUGGGAUCUUGGGAAGACUCAAGACCCUUUUCCAAGAGGUAGAUUCAACUCACUGUGAAGAAUGGCCCAAGUUCCCCUCACCGAGGAGUUCCCUUGUUCAGGGAGCAAGAGCAAUUACCUGAGCUGAUGGAUGUAGGCAUGCUUUAUAAAUGCUCGUGCUCACAUUCAUCUUAACC
rnacentral:lncRNA from 1 species